rfam:Oryza barthii chromosome 8, whole genome shotgun sequence.
AAAGAGACAGACCAUGGGUUUCCGUGUCCAACGUUUAACCGUCCGUCUUAUUUGAAAAAAUUAUGAAAAAAAUUAAAAAGACAAAUCAUGUAUAAAGUAUUAAUCAUGUUUUAUCAUCUAACAACAAUAAAAAUACUAACUAUAAAAAAAUUUAUAUAAGACAGACAGUUAAAGUUGGACACGAAAAUUUAGGAUUUGUCUUUUU